rnacentral:rRNA from 1 species
UACGAAGGGAGCUAGCGUUGUUCGGAAUCACUGGGCGUAAAGCGCACGUAGGCGGAUGUGUCAGUCAGGGGUGAAAUCCCGGAGCUCAACUUCGGAACUGCCUCUGAUACAGCACGUCUUGAGUCCGAUAGAGGUGGGUGGAAUUCCUAGUGUAGAGGUGAAAUUCGUAGAUAUUAGGAAGAACACCGGUGGCGAAGGCGGCCCACUGGGAUCGGUACUGACGCUGAGGUGCGAAAAGCGUGGGG